GGAAGUCCGGUGGAAUUCCGGCACGGUCGCGCCACUGUAUGCCGAGCAGCCACCGCGUACGCGCGGCGAGGCGGCCCGGUGAGUCAGAC
rnacentral:ncRNA from 2 species